UAAGCCUGACUCCACCACUUGUCUGAUGUGUGAGCUUGGAAUUUGCCUUGGGGAUUUGGCUUAUUCAGUGAUCGUGCCAUCUGGGGAAUGGAGAGGCCGAGCCCCAUGUUUUGCAGAUGGAAAUUUGAGUUCUAAUCCCAGUUUAGGCAGAACUGGCUCUGUGACCUUGGGAAUGUCCUUCACGCUUUGCCUCUCUAGAAGAUGAAUGGCAAUCUUGACCGGAUUCUUUUAGGUAUCAUCUGUCGCUUGCCAAGAGCAAGUUUGGGGCCUGAGUUGAGUGGAGAGAAGGUUUCUCUGUGUCUGACCCCCCAGGAAGGAGACUUUCUACUCUUUGGAGAAUCAUAGGACUGAGAGACCCUUCGAAGUCAUCUUGUCUGUUCCACUGCUCAUCAUCAUCCAGUGCCAUCGAGUCGUUUCCGCGCCACAGCGACUCUGUGGAUAUAUUUUCUCCAGUACGUCCUAUCUUCUGCCA